rnacentral:rRNA from 1 species
UACGUAGGGCGCAAGCGUUGUCCGGAAUUAUUGGGCGUAAAGAGCUCGUAGGCGGCCUGUUGCGUCCGCUGUGAAAUCCCGGGGCUCAACCCCGGGCCUGCAGUGGAUACGGGCUGGCUAGAGGCAGGCAGGGGGAGAACGGAAUUCCUGGUGUAGCGGUGAAAUGCGCAGAUAUCAGGAGGAACACCGGUGGCGAAGGCGGUUCUCUGGGCCUGUACUGACGCUGGAGGAGCGAAAGCGUGGGGAGCGAACAGG